ACUGCUUGCUCCAGGCAGGGAGAAAGCUUAUGGAAAUUAUAUUAGACCUUCAGCAAAGUGCACAGCUGCAUCAUACAGAAGCUGAGACUCAAACUGACAGGCAAAUAAGCCAGAUCACGGAAGGGGCCUCUGUGUGGCAGCUCUGAGCUACCAAGUGUUGGACAACUAGGCAAAAAGUGCAAUGGAACAGGGCAGAAAAUAACACACUAACUUCAGGCAACUGUUGCUUAUUCAUGGACUGGAAAGGAACAUUUUCCAUAGAUGUCGGUUUCUGUCUCUGUGAUGCUGCACUCUGAGUGAUGCCACAUUCAGCACUGAGUACUACUGGCAAAGUCAGAGGCUUCUCAGAAUGAGGUGCACAGCUGCCAUUCCAGGUGUACAGCUGCCAUUCCAUCUCACAGCAGGGCUGUGUUUGCUGCUCCACAAGCUGCAGAGCAAGAGAAGCCAACUUGAGGAGCUUGCAC